GAUGAACGCUGGCGGCGUGCCUAAUACAUGCAAGUCGAGCGAACGGACGAGAAGCUUGCUUCUCUGAUGUUAGCGGCGGACGGGUGAGUAACACGUGGAUAACCUACCUAUAAGACUGGGAUAACUUCGGGAAACCGGAGCUAAUACCGGAUAAUAUUUUGAACCGCAUGGUUCAAAAGUGAAAGACGGUCUUGCUGUCACUUAUAGAUGGAUCCGCGCUGCAUUAGCUAGUUGGUAAGGUAACGGCUUACCAAGGCAACGAUGCAUAGCCGACCUGAGAGGGUGAUCGGCCACACUGGAACUGAGACACGGUCCAGACUCCUACGGGAGGCAGCAGUAGGGAAUCUUCCGCAAUGGGCGAAAGCCUGACGGAGCAACGCCGCGUGAGUGAUGAAGGUCUUCGGAUCGUAAAACUCUGUUAUUAGGGAAGAACAUAUGUGUAAGUAACUGUGCACAUCUUGACGGUACCUAAUCAGAAAGCCACGGCUAACUACGUGCCAGCAGCCGCGGUAAUACGUAGGUGGCAAGCGUUAUCCGGAAUUAUUGGGCGUAAAGCGCGCGUAGGCGGCUUUUUAAGUCUGAUGUGAAAGCCCACGGCUCAACCGUGGAGGGUCAUUGGAAACUGGAAAACUUGAGUGCAGAAGAGGAAAGUGGAAUUCCAUGUGUAGCGGUGAAAUGCGCAGAGAUAUGGAGGAACACCAGUGGCGAAGGCGACUUUCUGGUCUGUAACUGACGCUGAUGUGCGAAAGCGUGGGGAUCAAACAGGAUUAGAUACCCUGGUAGUCCACGCCGUAAACGAUGAGUGCUAAGUGUUAGGGGGUUUCCGCCCCUUAGUGCUGCAGCUAACGCAUUAAGCACUCCGCCUGGGGAGUACGACCGCAAGGUUGAAACUCAAAGGAAUUGACGGGGACCCGCACAAGCGGUGGAGCAUGUGGUUUAAUUCGAAGCAACGCGAAGAACCUUACCAAAUCUUGACAUCCUUUGACAACUCUAGAGAUAGAGCCUUCCCCUUCGGGGGACAAAGUGACAGGUGGUGCAUGGUUGUCGUCAGCUCGUGUCGUGAGAUGUUGGGUUAAGUCCCGCAACGAGCGCAACCCUUAAGCUUAGUUGCCAUCAUUAAGUUGGGCACUCUAAGUUGACUGCCGGUGACAAACCGGAGGAAGGUGGGGAUGACGUCAAAUCAUCAUGCCCCUUAUGAUUUGGGCUACACACGUGCUACAAUGGGCAAUACAAAGGGCAGCGAAACCGCGAGGUCAAGCAAAUCCCAUAAAGUUGUUCUCAGUUCGGAUUGUAGUCUGCAACUCGACUACAUGAAGCUGGAAUCGCUAGUAAUCGUAGAUCAGCAUGCUACGGUGAAUACGUUCCCGGGUCU
rnacentral:rRNA from 1 species